CAAAAGAUAGUUUAAACAAAACACUGGCUUUGGAUUCCAGCAACAGGUUCUAAGAACCUUCUUUUGA
rnacentral:tRNA from 1 species